UUCAGUCUGAUCCAGAUGAGAGUUAAUAACUUCGAAUUUGUAAUUACUCAAAUUGUAAAGGAUGCUCCAGAGCACACAGUUGUGGUUUUCAAUCCAGUGGAUAUUCUUACAUAUGGUAGCUGGAAACCAAAAGAAUUUCCCAAGCACCAUGUGAUUGGAAGGGGGUGUAAACUGGAUUCUGAUAGGUUUUGCUGUCUUAUGUCUGAAAAACUUAGCCUUCCAGAAGCUGUCAUCUUGAAUGGAUUUUGGAAGAAUAUGGCAACUCAAGUAGGUUUACAUGAGGUGGAGUGACUGUAUCAGGAGUCGCUCCAGAAAUGGAAUUCAGAAGUGGAAAUUGUCGGUGACAGAGUGACAGAGUUUGAAAGAAGUGUGAAUCAGAUGAUUGGCAGAUCCUCUGAGGCCAUCACACUAAAAGUACAUUCCAACUGGGGUGUUGGCUUCAACGUUGCUGAGCUAAUCCAAAUGCUUCUUGAAAAACAUCUGUUCAGGAGUCAUCUAGACAGAGUUUCUUAACCUCAGCAUUGUUGACAUUUGGGGCCAGAUAAUGCCUCAUUGUGGCGCUGUCCUGUGCAUGGUAGGAUGUUUAGCAGCAUCCGUGGUUGGCAUCUACUCACUAGAUGCCAGUAGCUCUCCCCCUCCCACAGUUGUGACAACCAAAAACGUCCUCACACGUUGACAAAUAUCUGCUGAGGCUCAGAAUUGCCCUCUGACGUAUUGCUUUUGACAGUGAGGGGAUGUGUGACGCUCAGAACGGGCUUCACUUGUGUUCUAAGUAUUCAAGGAUUAACCAGAGUUUUCAACCAGAAGUGGAAGAAAAAUGAGAUUUUAACAUUCAAGAAGAGUGGGGAUAUACUGAACUAUUUAAAUAUCUGGUAUUAUCUGAGCAACAUGCCGAGGAAACGAUUAGAGUAUGAUUCACUGUUUCUGUAGGCUGAGAACUGCUCCGUGGCUGGGAAGAUGCGGCUCUGUCGCCACCUGGUGGCUAUUAGCAUGCUUACAGCGGUCGCUAAAUUCCACCGGCUGCCUCAUCCUUGCCUCAAUAAAGCUCAGACACAGAAGGUCUAUGAAGGUCCCUGAAUCCAAAUCUUCCGAUUGUCAAGACCUUAUUCACUUAGAGGUUUUCUGGCCAUUACUUGGACACCUCCCCCUGGUGGAGAGUUCACUGCCUAAUCAGGCAGCCAAGUCCAUUCUUGGACAUCUCACUGUCUUUCAGAUGUUUGGGGGCCGCUCGGACCCUCUGUUCCUGUCCUCUCUUCUGACUAAAUGUCCACAGUCCCCCAAACCUCCCUCCCGCGGCCUGCUUUCAAGUGCGUUCAUCCUCCUGGCUGCUGCCCACUCAAGUGCUCAGACUCCUCUGUGGCCCUCUUCAGGUGUGGCCCUCAGAGCUGCUUCCGCCCCCUGGACCUGUCUGGACACACCCUUUGCCUCUGCGGCCCCACUGUUCUCCGGGCCAGUUAAGAGCUGUGGCUGCUGUUGGCGUAGACGGUGGUGGCUGCUGUCUAAUUCCUCGCUCAGCCCUACCUCUCCUGCUGCGUGGAACCAAACUGGGAUGGAGAAGCCCCUGGAAUAGCCAGCCCACUGUGGCAAACGAUGUUUGUCUUGAGAAUGGAAGCAGGCUAGGCAGCAGAAUGGAAAUCCAGUGUUAUUGGCAGGUCAGCUCAGGAUCAUUGCUCCAGUUCCUGGGGCAGCCUGGAGACAGAAGUGCUGAUGAGGAAAAUCCUGGUUGGCCCCGUGUCAGGUGAAGAGCAUGAGGCCACGGGGAAAAUCUGAAGACAAUUACAGUGGAACCCACAGCAUGCUUCAGUGAGUACUGUGGUCUCCAAACCUGUCCAGGUCCCAUGAGAGGCCACGCUGGGUCCCCUCCCAGAUAUUCCCCUGAGCUGGUGCAUGUGGCUUUCUGUUCUUCCACCUGGCACCGAGCUGUGGCUUGCAGACAUUUUACCCAUCAUUAGCUCCAUAUGCUGUUAUCUGGACAAAUUUAGGCUGAAGCAUAUUCCUCAACACCUUGUAAGUGCUCGUGUUUGUCACUACAGCUCUUAUUCCGGCAGCAAAAGCUGCAUCAAAUGGUGGCCCUCUAAUGUCGCAGGGCAGAGAAGCCAAGCAGAACUGCAGCAUGCCAGGGAGCAUCCAGGGCUGUGCCCAGGGUGCAGAACCCGCCUCCUAGCAGAGUGAGGGAAAUAAGUCUUUUUUUAGGGACCUGGCAUGGCCCAGGCACUGUGCUAGGCUCAGGGGCCAUAACCAGAAACAGGACAGACCCAGUCAGUCCCUCCAAAAAUUGUAGUCCCACAGCAGUGGUCCUCAGACAUUGGUGAGAACCAUUUAAACAUGAAGAUAUGUGGGCUCCCAUCCCUCAGAGUUGGAGUCACUGGGUGUGUGGCAGGGCCUGUGAAUCUGCAUUUUCAGCAUCCUUCUGUGUGACUGUGAAGCAGAGGGUCAGGUGACCAUGCUUUGAGAAAUACUGGCCUGGGGCCUCACGACUCAAAGCGUGGUCUGGGGACCCCUUCUCCCCAUCGGCAUCCCCUGAGAGCUGGUCAGACGUGCAGAAUUUCAGGCUCCACCCCACGCCUACUGAAUCAUAAUGGGCAUUUUAAUCAGAUUCUCGGGAGGAUUUGUCUGCUUAUUAAAGUGUGGGAAGCAUUGCCAGUGCAAGGUGCAAGGAAGUCUUGCUUUUUACCCAACAUCUGUAUUGUUUUGAUAAGAGAAAGAAUGUAUUCGUGCAUUACUUGGUAAUUAAAAAUAAAUUAGUGAAAAACUUUGCAUAAGCCGGAAAAAUCUUGUACAUGAAUGUUCACAGCAGCUCUCUCCAUAAUAGCCCCAGGCAGGAAACAGCCUAAAUGCCUAUCACAGGUGAAUGGAUAAGCACAAGGUGCCGUAUUCAAAAAAUGGAAUACUGCUCAACAAUAAAAAGGAACAACGUGCAACAAUAUGGAUGAAUCUCAAAUACGUUAUGCUAAGUGGAAGGAGCCUGACCCGAAAAGCUACAUGCAAUGUGAGUCCGUUUAUAUGAUGUUCUAGAAAAGACAGAACUAAAGGAACAGAAAACAGAUUAGUGGUUGCAGGGGCUGGUAAUUGGAGGAGAGGAUUGACUACAAAGAAGCGGGAAGGAACCUUUUGGAGUGAGGGAAAUGUUCCACAUCGUGGUUGUGGUGGUGUUCACACAAAUGUAUACAUUUACCCAAAAUCAUUGAACUGAGUAUUUAAAAUAGGUGAAUUUUACUGUAUGUAAAUUAUACUAAUAAAAAUGAUUUUAAAAACACCAACAGAAACCAGGACCAUCAGGUGGUUUGGGCCAUUUGUUUUGUUCCCAGAGAGCCUUGGUUAAGCCUCUCCUCCAUUGCCCCCAUAGUUGAGCUUCCUAAUCCUCUGACCAAAAAUGAAAACUGGGCCCUCCAGCCCUGAAGCCGGUGCUGUCACCUGCAGUGUCUCACUCUAAUGGUCCACUAGGAGAACUCACUUUCUGCUCCAGGCUGAGUGCAGCAAAGAGGGUGUUAAAUUAAUUCAACAAGGAGGUCAUUAGACUGAAGUGGCUCUAAUGCUAUGGUGGCCUAUGUGAGCAAACCAAAACCAGAGCCUGUAAAUGCCUCAAGGUUAAGAAAUUAAAACUGUGGAAAUUAAUAAAAGAAAUCUUAGCUAAAUUGAAGUUGGGAAGGCCUGUAGGGGGAGCUCUCAUGCCCUAUCACACAUCAUCAAUUACAUCAACCUGGAAGAGACUAACAGUUUGGACGGGAAGUAAAACUUUUACUACUCAAGGAAGAUUUCUCUCCCCACCUGGCAACAGCCCAGCCAAUGAGAAUCACUGCAGCUCAGCCAAUGAGAAUCACUGCAGCUCAGCCAAUGAGAAGCUGUUGCUGCCCUGCACUGCUCCUUUCCACUAGAGGGCUUUGUUUUAGAAGAGCCCCUCCGUACUCCCCCUUUUUCUCUAUAAAAGCAGCUCCCUCCUUUGUUUUCUGGAUUUGCUAUGGCAUGUACAUCCCAAACGGCAAUUCUUUUGGCUAUUCCCACCCGAAUAAACGCGUUUUGAGGAUUUUCAAGUCAGCAAAACCUAAGGAUAACCAAUCCCUGUCAAUUAGGCUUUCCUAAAUAAGGCAAACGCUAAGAAGAACCAAUCACAAACAGCGAACUAGGCUUUACGUGAUAGCCAAUCAAAUAAUUUCCUUUCUUUGAUUCUCUAUACUAAUCUCUCCCCUAACCCUUUUGGUGGAGUGACCCUAACCACUUCUGGUUUGUCACUACCCAACUUGAAUCAAUUUUUACUCAAAUAAACUCUGAAGAUUUUUAGUAUGCCUCUGUUUAUCUUUUAACAAAGAUUAAGAGCAUAUCUCCAGAGCCAGAUUGCUUGGGUUCUGUUUCCAGCUCUAUCUUCUGCUAGCUGUGUGACCUGGGACAAAUUUGGCAACCUAUCUGUGCCUCAGUUUUCUUGUCUGUAAAAUAGAGAAAAUAAUAGUACCUGUCGCGAAGAGUUGUGUGAGAAUUUUAAAAAGUUAUAUUAUGGUAAAGCACUUAGGACAGCACCUAGAGAUAGUAUGCAUUAAAUGUUGGUUAUUAUUUAAUAAAUGUGAAUUUCAUCUAUGCCAUUUUUUUUCCCCUCAAUGUAGCCAUGAAGAUCAUUUUUAUGGACUUGUUACAAGCUAAGAACGCUCCAUCUUUAUGACAGGCCGAUUCUAGAAGCAGCCUCUGGUCCCAUUCUGGCUGUCUUCACUGAUGGAGGAUUCCCAAGGAAUGGCCGCUUGGGAGGUGGGAGCUGGAGAUGGAGCAGAGCGAGCUGUAAGUUUGGGGCUCAGCCUGGGUCUGGGACAGUUUCACUCUGUGGUCAAGAAGACAGGGUCAAAUCCCCUACCCCCAGGAAACUGUCCUGAGCACCUGGCCCUUGCUAAUCCUUGACAGGUUGGGA